rnacentral:rRNA from 1 species
CCUACGGGUGACAGCAGUGAGGAAUAUUGGUCAAUGGACGAGAGUCUGAACCAGCCAAGUAGCGUGAAGGAUGACUGCCCUAUGGGUUGUAAACUUCUUUUAUAUGGGAAUAAAAUGUUCCACGUGUGGGAUUUUGUAUGUACCAUAUGAAUAAGGAUCGGCUAACUCCGUGCAAGCAGCCGCGGUAAUCCGGAGGAUCCGAGCGUUAUCCGGAUUUAUUGGGUUUAAAGGGAGCGUAGGUGGAUUGGUAAGUCAGGUGUGAAAGUUUGCGGCUCAACCGUAAAAUUGCAGUUGAAACUGGCAGGCUGGAGUGCAGUAGAGGUGGGCGGAAUUCGUGGUGUAGCGGUGAAAUGCUUAGAUAUCACGAAGAACUCCGAUUGCGAAGGCAGCUCACUGGACUGCAACUGACACUGAGGCUCGAAAGUGUGGGUAUCAAACAGGAUUAGAUACCCGAGUAGUC